GACGUAGGGCGCGAGCGUUGUCCGGAUUUAUUGGGCGUAAAGAGCUCGUAGGCGGUUUGUCGCGUCUGCUGUGAAAACUGGGGGCUCAACCCCCCAGCCUGCAGUGGGUACGGGCAGACUAGAGUGCGGUAGGGGAGAUUGGAAUUCCUGGUGUAGCGGUGGAAUGCGCAGAUAAUCAGGAGGAACACCGAUGGCGAAGGCAGAUCUCUGGGCCGUAACUGACGCUGAGGAGCGAAAGCAUGGGGGAGCGAACAGGAUUAG
rnacentral:rRNA from 1 species